UCUCUAUCUUUUUUUCAAGUCUCGUUCUACAUUAACUUUUAAUUCAAUUACGUCAAAGAGUUGAGCAGCAUACAUUCAGUUCAAGAAUUUGGAUAUAUACAGCAUAAAUUCAGUUCUUUGAAGUCAGUGUUGACAGUUAAAUUUGGAGUCAGUGUUGGAGUCAUACUUUGGAGUCAGUGUUGACAAUUACUAAAAUAUAUGGCACAAAAUACUAUAAGUUUACCUGAAGAGCUGAGAUCUCGACCGACCACUGCUGGUAUUAAUAAUGUAGGAAAGGUUCGACGAUUCCAUGAUUUGAAACGUAUUGAAAAAGCAUUUAUCCGGCUAGCUUUUGUAAGCAUAGUAAUAGCUGGCAUAAUAACUGUGGUGCGAAUAAAUGGUUUACUCAAACCAAGUGCAGACUUCACUUUUGCUCUUUUACUUCUUAUAAACUUAUUGUUUAUACUGAUCUAUGUUGUAUAUGGUGUUUUUUGGGAACGACCAUUUGAACUAAUUGUAUCCAUUAUUACCACCUUAAUUGUUAUGCUUUAUUGUAUUGUGGAGUUCGCACUGAAAGGACGGUUUCAUAAAGGGAAAGUAUAUAUAAUUAAAUUAGUACGUUUAAUUGGUAUUUCUGCUCUUGGUCCUAUUGACAUUGUCUUAGGAAUAAUAAUUGCAUAUAAUUUUUAUACUUCUAAGAGACUUAUUUUCAAGACUGUUGGUGGAAGUGCACUUUUACAAAAAAUGUGUCGAACAAUGUUUUUUUUUGAAGCAUUUUUGUUAUUUGAUUUCCAGCUUGUUAUAAGCUUGCUAGUUUUGAUUUUGGGUGUCAGUAGAAAAAUUACAUCAGAAGAAAAAGUUGUUCUGGGUUUAGGAGUACCAAUUAGUUUUUUUUGGAUAGUAUUAGGAUUUCUUCUGACACGUUUUGAGAAUAUUAAACUUAAUUUCAUUUUUUGGAUCAUUGGGUUUCUGGAACCACCUUAUAUUAUUUGGUUGUUUGUCAAGACUAAAAAUGAAGUAAAUAAUCAGAAAAAAAAUGACUAUGAUGCAAAUGUUGUUUUGUUUUGUAUAUUUGCUGCCGGUGUACUGGGAUUGCUUCUUCGUAUCCUUGUCUUUGUUUGGUCCUAUUUUAUUUUUAAAAAUUUUAACAAGGGUUUGAAGGAAAAAGUGUAUCAACAUAUAUCUUCUGCGCCAAAAAGGAACAUCUUAAAUAAAAGUCAGCAAAAUAACCCUAAUUACAACUCCAUGCAGUCCAUAUAAGGAGACCGUAAAUAAAAAAUUAACUUUUGUAGAGUAAACAUGGAACUAGAUUUGAUUUAUUACUAUGUAAAAUGUAUACUUUCAUAAAAAUGCAUGUAAUAAGAAAAUGAUGUCAUGCUAUUUGAAAUUAACAUUUUUGGUUUUAUAA
rnacentral:misc_RNA from 1 species